rnacentral:rRNA from 1 species
GAUGAACGCUUAGCUACAGGCUUAACACAUGCAAGUCGAGGGGCAGCAUGGUCUUAGCUUGCUAAGGCCGAUGGCGACCGGCGCACGGGUGAGUAACACGUAUCCAACCUGCCGUCUACUCUUGGACAGCCUUCUGAAAGGAAGAUUAAUACAAGAUGGCAUCAUGAGUCCGCAUGUUCACAUGAUUAAAGGUAUUCCGGUAGACGAUGGGGAUGCGUUCCAUUAGAUAGUAGGCGGGGUAACGGCCCACCUAGUCUUCGAUGGAUAGGGGUUCUGAGAGGAAGGUCCCCCACAUUGGAACUGAGACACGGUCCAAACUCCUACGGGAGGCAGCAGUGAGGAAUAUUGGUCAAUGGGCGAGAGCCUGAACCAGCCAAGUAGCGUGAAGGAUGACUGCCCUAUGGGUUGUAAACUUCUUUUAUAAAGGAAUAAAGUCGGGUAUGGAUACCCGUUUGCAUGUACUUUAUGAAUAAGGAUCGGCUAACUCCGUGCCAGCAGCCGCGGUAAUACGGAGGAUCCGAGCGUUAUCCGGAUUUAUUGGGUUUAAAGGGAGCGUAGAUGGAUGUUUAAGUCAGUUGUGAAAGUUUGCGGCUCAACCGUAAAAUUGCAGUUGAUACUGGAUAUCUUGAGUGCAGUUGAGGCAGGCGGAAUUCGUGGUGUAGCGGUGAAAUGCUUAGAUAUCACGAAGAACUCCGAUUGCGAAGGCAGCCUGCUAAGCUGCAACUGACAUUGAGGCUCGAAAGUGUGGGUAU